AGAUGGUGCCAGGAUUGCCUGCCGUUCACGCUCUCCCUCUUAGCCACUACCGAUCGUCUAGCAAGGUCUCGACGAAUUACAUGAUAUAAGCUGCAAGAUGUGAUUUUGGAUGUUGUUCCCUGACCACUUCUUGGACCGUGCUCUUCAUGUCGAGCACCCAACAAGAGGGAGAGGAGGAGCGCAUCCAUGCUCGAACUCGGAGAUGGGAAAGCAGGAAGACGGUAAAUAUGAGCUUGUGUGCACUGGACUUGCAGCACUACAUGCUCUCGUGUAGGCUCCGUGUGUUUAUACAAUAUGGGACACUCGUGGCGGAAUGUGGCAAGCUUGUGCAAACCUCAUGCUGGUAGAAAGGAAGACAAUUCAAAUUCUGGAACUACAAAGAUGAUGUUCAAGAAAUAUAGGAGUACAAAGCAAGAGGAUGUGCUCAGCUUCUCUCUGACUUAUUAUGCUUACAUCUAUGAUUGCUGGACUUCUUGCUCCCCAAAGAUGUCAAGCGGUUCUCUCUCUUAUAGCAUGUUAUGUUUGUGUCUCUUUAAUUUUCACUAUUCAAAUGAUGCAUGAACAGUUUUUUCAUUGUUUGAAUCAAACAUUAUACUCUACAAUCUACAUAUCCUACUACUAGCGGUGGCUGAAUUGUGAUACAGUAUUAAUUUUAUUUUGUGUUCCUCCCAGGUCUUUCUGAUUGUCCUGAGCUCCUGUCGUCGAAGCCUUUCACUUUCUAGCCAUCACCUGGUGGUUGGAGGCUACAAAUAAUGAUGUCGCACCGUGUUUUACAAGUCUGCGAAAGGCGGGUCGCGUGGCAAGCAGCGUCCUUACUGAUAGUAGAUUUCAGAUAGUGUUUCUGAAUUAUUUAUCAGUACGAAAGUCAGGAACCUACUUAUUUGACUGCUUAGGGGAAUGUAAACUGCUUGCCAUCAGGUCGGGAACACCAAACUCCAACCUUAUGGAAGAGACAAAUCAUAUGAUUCGUCGUGCAUUGCAGAUCCCCUGUAGAAGAGGACCCUGAAUGCGGAGAAGUUUUCAUUUUGCCCUUUUGUUUGGGUCAACCAUACGGUUGGAGCGAGAUUCCUUUCUAUUUAUGCCUACAUGAUGUUUGAUGAAAAUACGAGUGGGCAACAGAGAAAUAUUGAGGUUAUUUCUCAUGCUGUUCAGUAUGCAAUAGUUUAUUCAGAACUACCAAUGUGCCUCCAGGCAUGAUUGCUGAUACGAGUACGGUGUAUAGAUAUACAAAUGACUGAAUUACCAUGUCAUCUAUUUUUGGGAGCUCAUUUGUGUCUCAAUGAAGCAAAGGGAUGGAGUUUCUGGUUCACAUACAUCCUGCUCUCUUGAUCAGCGGAAAAAAAUGAUGAUUGCAAAUUUUGAAGGCUUAUAUAUUGGUUGUUCAUGUGUACUGCCACCUCUCAUAUGUUGCAGUGGUGUUUCAGCAGAAUGGGAAGGUACCACUCGAGCACGUUCACUCACAGAUUGUUGCAGUGGGGUUUCAGUACAAAAUCCAAUACAAGCGAGAUAGCUAACUGCACCAAUCAG